AAUUACGACAUAAAAUUUUUAGGGGAUUUAAUCAAUCGCCAUCAAACCAAACCGAACCGGGAACUGGUAAAGGGGAUCCAUUUUCGGUUUACUCCCCUUAACUUUCAGCUAAAAAAAACUUUGGUUUCUUUAGUUUAGGCUCACCAAGGUGCAACGAGAUGCUAACCUCAUCUUCUUCUUCAGAACUGCUCUUUAAAGCGACAAGAUCAUCAACUUUGAGUUUCUCUUGCCUUUGACUAGUAGAAGUAGACUCGUUAAACGACAACGGAGCAAUGAACACAUGUUCCUCUACUUCAGGCGUUGGUUUGAUAGCCUCUUCUAUACGAAACUCAGGCGGUAUAAACGGCUCAAAGCUCUCAUCUUGUUUGUCUCCUGAAGCAACCGGGUCCGGUGGUGAUGACUGGCAAACCGUUGAACCAAUGGCUGUAACCGAAGUGUUUCUCUGUCCUCUAGCAGCUGCUUUACACAAAGCCAAAACCAAUAAGGACAUGAAAGUGUGGGAACGUAAUGAAACAUGAAAGAGUUAUAAACCUUCGAGUUCAUGGUUUGAUGUGAUGAGAUCUAGCUCCAAGAGAUCCAAAAGCCGACCAAGAUCGACCCCGCUUGUCCAGUUCUCAGGUUCUCGUCCUGCUAUCAGUUUCAGCCGUCCUCUGUUUGCUGUACCACCCCAAAUGAUCCCAACCGGUCGUGGUUUCUGACCGUUUGGACUAGUUAAGAGUAUAAGGCUUCCACUGUCACCUUCGAGGUCAAAAGUCUGCUGGUUCUCACCAAUGACUAGAAAAUCAGUGAGGAAACAGAUCCCUUUCUCGUCGUUGUAUUCCAAAGCAUAAGCCAUAACGGUUCCAGUGGUGUAUCCAGAGCUUCUUCCAACUUUAACAACUUGUUUACCGAUAAGGGUAUCAAUAGGUGAUUGCAAGUCUAUGACGUGGACGUUGCCUAUCUCACCUAUGCCCUUUAUCACUGUGGUUACAUUGCUCAUACUGAAAUUUUCUGCAAAGGGAAUAAAUGCACCAUCCGCUCUCACAAAUGUUUCUGCAUUGGGAUGGAUACAAAACAAUGGUCAGUACGAAACAAGGAUGUCCAAUGUCCCACAUACAUUGACUUGUAAUCAUGGUUCUAAAAAUCGGUUUAGACCCCGCCGAGGCAUUUGUUGCCGUCACCUCGGUUCUAUCCAAAACGAUUUUCUUAAAAUAUGAUUUUAUCGGUUUAAACUGUUUAGAUUUGUUAAAAUCGGACUAAAUCGAUCUAAAUUAAUUUAACUCUAUUAAAUUAAGUAAUAAAGUUAGUGCAAGUCCACAAAUUUGUAUAUUCUUUUUGUAUAUUUUGAUAAUUCAUUUAAAUAAUUUUAUAAUUAAUCCAAAAACUAAAACAUCUUAUAUAAAUAUAAAAUACAUCAAUUGUUCGUUAACCCCUAAUAGUUUAUAAUUAAUCCAAAUAACCCCUAGUUACCACCUAACAAUUUCUUGAACAUUGCUUGUGAUGGAAAUCAUAACAGGAGUACCUGGAUUUGUAUCAGCAAAUAUGCCGUACCACUGGUCAUCUGUAAUAAACGAUGUUGCUCUCUCAACUGCACCGAGGUAGACACCCGGUCCAAGGCUUGGAGGUAAAGGAUGAAACAUUUUCUGGCUUGGAUAGUCCAAAUCAACUGCCACAUGCCGGUUAGUAAGGAAACCGACCUGAUGGUUACCGGUUCUGCUUCUCACUAUAGCUCCCAACGUUCCAUACGUUUCUUGGCUUGCAACCUACACAAUGGAAAACAAAACUGAGUCUUUACUUUUGAGUUUUUGCAGAAGAGGGAGCAACAAUAAAAAGAAGAAGAAGUACCUGAGAACCAGAGCCGAUGCAUGGAUCACUUCCUCUCAAACCAUCUACAAGUUCAUUAUAAACCUGUUCCUUUGGCGUUGCAGCAGGAGCACCGUAAUAUUGGAACUCCACAACAUCUACAUCGCACCAAACCCCUCCAGGACCCUAUUAAGAAACCAACACAUCACCUAUCAUGCUCAUGUAUGUAGAAUGGAAUUAAAUUUCAAAGAUAACUAAACCUCAAGAGCGGAAGGAAGACACUGCAUUGGAUUAAGCCAUUGCCUAUGAACUUUCCUAGCAACAAACACGAGAAUCGCCGGAGUAUUUGUCAGAACACCACGCGUGAUCCUGAACCCAACUGCAGUACCAAGACUAAACCGGCGCAGGAUUUUACUAUGAAACGCUCUGAUAGUCAUGAGCUCAAGCAAGGUAGUGGCUUGCUGUCCUGAAGGCAACCUCCCAACGAUUUCAGGCAAAACACCUUUCUGGAGAUUAGCAAAGUAGUUAGCUCGGUCUUCCACAGCAUUGUUGAGGCGGCUGAGAGUAGGCCAGGAGAAGUAAGGGGCGUUGCUCUCUCCGUGCUGGAUGUUGAAUGCGAAUGGAUUAAGAGAAGAUGGGCUUGAAGAGGACGGAAGACUCAUGUGGUUGCAGUGAUGGUUGGUUCUCGCCAAAUCCGAAGCACGAACCUGAAAGAAAGAGAGCCAGAAAAAGUGUCUUUAGUAGGCUUGUUAUGCCUCCAAGAGAACCUGUUGCUGAAAAGGAUCCUUCUCCGGUCGCUGAACCAGUCAAUGAGGUAAUGGCGUUUCUAAACGAAUGUCAAAAACAUCUGAUGGAGCAAAAAAGACCAGAUACAGCUGAUCCUGUAAGGUUUGUUAAACCCAAGAAGAAAAAGGAAAAGAAUCAUUCAAAAGAGGCACUUGACAAUGGUGCGAUGAUUCCUUUUACCGAGACUAGUCCUGGUGAUAUGUCUGAUUGUGAAGAAGGGGUGGAACAUAAGCAACCAUUCAUCGACUUUAAGCGUCGUAGCCAAGCUGAAAAGAGCAAUCUAAAUCAAGAGUGUAAAGAGAGCCUCGAAGAUUCAGCUCCUCAGGACAAGAAAAGGAAGCUGCUGAGGCCAAGACUAAUCGAAGAUGACUCGGAAAAGAAUAGAGGAAACAAUGAUAAUCCUAUUGAAACUGACACGGCCCCAAAGUCAGCUACUGAAGUCCCCCUCCUUGAUCUCCUUGCACGGUUUGGUCAAUAACCAUUCACACUGAGAUGGAAACAUGGAAACAGUAAAGGACAGAACAAGGCCUCUAGGAGAGGAUAUGUAUCCAAUUGAAUGUGGGCGUUGAUCCUUGGCAGUUGUCUUUUAGUUUCUUCCUAAGAUGAAGGUGGUCAAUCUUUUUUAUCUGUAUCUUCAUAAACAUGGUGGUCAUAUCAUAUCUAGUAGCAUUGAACAAUGCUUACAUGCUUUGGCAAAAGAGCAGUUUCAAGUUAGGAUUGCUUUGGUUUUUUUUUGAUGGGAUUGCUUUCAAUCUCAUUACUAGAAUUUUGUAAAUGACUUUGCAUAAGGCAAUUGGUGAAGAGGAGGAAUCUCAAUUUUUAGGAUGAGACAGAGAUUUAUUUGUGUGGUUUAUUUUUAUUUCAUAAAGCAAAGAUAAACCAAUAUACAUGUCUCCUCAAGCUCUCAACCUCAAGGCUGCUAUGGAGAGAGACAGAAGUAACAAACAUUAAUGUAUCUAGUUCAUAGCGUUUGGUCCAAAGCAUCUGUUCCUAGUAAGAUCCCAAACCCAUUGAAUCAAAUAUUUUCUUCUUCCAACUCCAUUCACAUUAUACACACUUCUCCACCUAUCCUUGUACACAAUCCCCAUAUACCCACCUCCACCUCCUGAUCCAUACACUCCCAAACACAAAUCCGCUAUCUCGGUCGGCGCCAUUGCAUCUUCUCCUCCGUACCAUCCGUUCAACAUAGGGUUACUCGACACUUCCGCCAGCUCAUGAGCUAUCACACUGAUCAUCCCAUCGAUUCCCACCUCUCCAUUUGGUGGUUUCAUCUUCUCUCUGCUCACAAACCCGCUUCCUGGAAACGGUUUAGGCUGCGCAAAAGGGUACGCGCACAUCUCCGGACACUGUUUCCUACUGUUCCCGACCCACACGUACGGCACCGUUGCACCAACGAUGGUUGAGAAAGUGAAGUAAUGGAACCCGCAGAUGGCUCUGCAGAACUCUUGCAUCUCUACAUCGUCUGAGGUCAGGACCAUGUACAAGCCGUUGAGAGAGUUUAGUGGUAGCUUGUUGGCGACGGCAGUUCUGAUGAUGGACUGGACAGAGAAGCGACUGAGUUGAGAUCCAUGAGAGUAGGUUGAGUCGUGGAACUCUCCGGACAAGACAAGUGUUCUGGUGAUGUUGGAACCUGUUUGGUCUCUGUAAAGCCUCACCGUCUUCCACCAGUCGAAUACUGAAGGAUACCGUGCCGGUGAAGAGACGGAGUAGAUGAAGUCUCUGAUUGUAGACUGGUGAGUUGGGUUCCAUCGACCGUACCAUAUGAUGUAAAGACUAGUCUCAGGCGAGGAUAUGACCGGACCCAUGUGGUAUUCAAGGUUUACAAGAUCGGAGGAGCCUUCGUAGUUCUUGCUUUCGUCGUAGAGUUGUCCAUCGGAUGUGAAAGAGAGUGAGAGGAAGAACAAGAAGAUGAGAGAGAUCAUCUUCUCAGGGGUUUUGUUUGUGAUUUGGUGAGUGAAGAACUUGGAGAUGUUAUUGGUGUUAUAAAUAGAAAGGUACAUGCACUCCAAAGUAGAAGAUAUUAGAUUAGAAACUCCAUUUGUAUGUAAUUUUUAAGUUUUAUACAUUAUGAUAUAUGUAUAAAUCAAUGAGGCUGUCGGUUAAGUAGAACUUUUAAGCUUGAUUGGUGGCACUGUUAGGGUUAGACAUAGAGCCCCACUUGACCAAAAGCAUGUUUACCACUAAUGAUUUCUUGUCAAAACUAAUGAAAAGAGGUACUAUGACCAUUAUUACAUAAAAUAGUAUAAGAUCCAAUAUCGGAAAGUGAAAAGCUUUAGAUGUUAGCCUAGAGAAUAGAGUAACGCAUUAACAUAAAAUUUCAACAGAGUUGGGAAAUCAUCUGGCAAGUUAUUUAAAUCAAAGAAAACAUUUUGUAUAUUCAAAUCUAAUAGUAUAACUUUUGAAUUAUAUGCUAUUCAUAAGUUUUAGUAAAUCUACAAAAUUAACAUGAUCAGUGAUCAAGAUUUACCAUCUAUCAUCGCUAGUCAAGUCACUUUUACAGUUUGACUAAACCAAUGGAAAGUCGUUAAACCUUUAAUUUUUAGAUUCUUGACAUAAUAGUAGACAUUAUGCUGAACAGUUCUAUAUGUAUUAGAUUAAAAGUUUAAAUAAAUUUAUUUAUAUUAAUCUGUAAUUGCAUCUUAUAGAACUUGAACAACAUGUUUCUUUCUUUGUACAAAAACAUUAAUGAAUUUUGAUCAAACACCGGAUUAGAACUUCUGUAUUUGUUUAUAUUUAUGUCUUAUUCUAGUAAAAAUAGGUUUAAGAAAAAUUAUCUAUAAAAAUUCUUUUAGAAAAUUUUAAAUUUUUUUUCUCAACUUGGGAUCCUCCUGAUUUUCUGAAAUGAAUUACUUAAAUUGACAAAAGUUUUAUCCCCGUGGAAAGCGACCUUUUUGCUUUUAACCAACCAACGCUCUUUUUCCAGAUAUGCGGUAGUCGGAACUGUGUUCUAAUUGGCUAAACCGGAAAUCAAAAGUCAAAACUUCUUAACCGUUACUCGGUUUAAUGUCCCACAUGGGUAUUAGUAUUACCUUUGAAUUUCAUAGAACUUAUGUUCAUGCAGUUCUGCUACAGUCUUCGAAUGUUAUUUUCGUACUUAAAGAAUAAUAAUACUAUGAACAAUUACGACAUAAAAUUUUUAGGGGAUUUAAUCAAUCGCCAUCAAACCAAACCGAACCGGGAACUGGUAAAGGGGAUCCAUUUUCGGUUUACUCCCCUUAACUUUCAGCUAAAAAAAACUUUGGUUUCUUUAGUUUAGGCUCACCAAGGUGCAACGAGAUGCUAACCUCAUCUUCUUCUUCAGAACUGCUCUUUAAAGCGACAAGAUCAUCAACUUUGAGUUUCUCUUGCCUUUGACUAGUAGAAGUAGACUCGUUAAACGACAACGGAGCAAUGAACACAUGUUCCUCUACUUCAGG
rnacentral:lncRNA from 1 species